rnacentral:rRNA from 1 species
GACGAACCGUCCAAACGUUAUUCGGAAUCACUGGGCUUAAAGGGUGCGUAGGCGGCGCGGAAAGUUGGGUGUGAAAUCCCUCGGCUCAACCGAGGAAUUGCGCCCAAAACUACCGUGCUCGAGGGAGAUAGAGGUGAGCGGAACUUAGGGUGGAGCGGUGAAAUGCGUUGAUAUCCUAAGGAACACCGGUGGCGAAAGCGGCUCACUGGAUCUCUUCUGACGCUGAGGCACGAAAGCUAGGGUAGCAAACAGG